rnacentral:rRNA from 1 species
UACAGAGGUCCCGAGCGUUGUUCGGAUUUAUUGGGCGUAAAGGGUGCGUAGGCGGCGGAGUAAGUUGGGUGUGAAAUCCCGGGGCUCAACCUCGGAACUGCAUUCGAUACUGCUGCGCUAGAGUACUGGAGAGGAGAUUGGAAUUUACGGUGUAGCAGUGAAAUGCGUAGAUAUCGUAAGGAAGACCAGUGGCGAAGGCGGAUCUCUGGACAGUUACUGACACUGAGCACGAAGGCCAGGGGAGCAAACGGG